rnacentral:rRNA from 1 species
UACGUAGGUGGCAAGCGUUGUCCGGAUUUAUUGGGUUUAAAGGGUGCGUAGGCGGUUCCUUAAGUCAGUUGUGAAAUACGGCAGCUUAACUGUCGAGGUGCAAUUGAUACUGGGGAACUAGAGUACUGAUGAGGUAUGCGGAAUGGACGGUGUAGCGGUGAAAUGCGUAGAUAUCGGGAGGAACACCUGUGGCGAAAGCGGCUCACUGGACCACAACUGACGCUGAGGCGCGAAAGCUAGGGGAGCAAACAGG